CAAAACACUAAAACAUUAGGAUCUUUGUUCCUGAAAGACUUAAAACUUCAAAAUGGAACCUUUUGAAAGUCCUGAGAACGAUCAUUUUUCUAAAAAAUACGUAGAAGAAUUUUGAAAACUAAGAAAUUCAGGGACAGGAUUGUGGGAUACCAGAUCAUUUUCAGAAAGGCAUUAUCUUUGAAGCUCAAAAUUAUCACUCGAUGAAACCAUACACAAUCUUUUGAAAAUAAAAAUGAAACCUUCAAAUGUCCUGAAACAUAUCACUUUUCAGAGAAAUAAGAAGAACUUUAGGAAAAAAAAUACAGGGACAAGAUUCCGUUUGUAUCUGGGGACGGAUGAAGCAAAUGCCAAACAAAUUUGUCCAAUAGUAAGUGUACGAAUGUUGAAUUUAAUGAAAUAGCUAUUAACACUUAUAAAAAUCAUGGCCUGGAAACAUUGCAAGUUCAAAAGAAACCCAACUUUCUGAUGACAAUCAUUACAGGAACUGGAUUGUGAAAAAUCAGCUAGCUUUCAGAAUGAAAUUUUAUUCCAGGCUCAAAAUUGGAACUUGAAGAGACCAUAUACAAUCUACAAUAUCACAUUGCAUGUUGCACCUCGGUUCAGUGUUUAUGCAUCAGUAGAGCAACUUUUCAAUUUCAGUAAAAGAACUAAUACAGGACUAAUUAUUUGCUUGCGCAGAAGAUUGAAUCUUUGUUCCUAAAAGCAUUAGGAUCUUUGUUAAGCAUUAAAACAUAAAAAUGAAGCCUUUUGAAAGUCCCGAGAAUGAUCAUUUUUCUAAAAAAUAAGGAAAAGAAUUUUGAAAACAAAGAAAUACAGGAACUGGAUUGUGGGA
rnacentral:misc_RNA from 1 species